rnacentral:rRNA from 1 species
AAGGAAUUUUCCCCAAUGGGCGCAAGCCUGAACCAGCCACGCCGCGUGAAGGAUGACGGCCCUAUGGGUUGUAAACUUCUUUUCUACGGGAAUAAACCUCAUUACGUGUGAUGAGCUGAAGGUACCGUAGGAAUAAGCAUCGGCUAACUCCGUGCCAGCAGCCGCGGUAAUACGGAGGAUGCAAGCGUUAUCCGGAAUUAUUGGGCGUAAAGCGUCCGUGGGUGGGUGUUCAGGUCUGCUGUUAAAGC